CCUACGGGAGGCAGCAGUGGGGAAUAUUGGGCAAUGGGCGAAAGCCUGACCCAGCGACGCCGCGUGGGGGAAGAAGGCCUUCGGGUUGUAAACCCCUUUUGCAGGGGACGACACAGGACGGUACCCUGCGAAUAAGCCACGGCUAACUCUGUGCCAGCAGCCGCGGUAAGACAGAGGUGGCAAGCGUUGCUCGGAUUUACUGGGCUUAAAGGGCGCGUAGGCGGCUUUAUAAGUCCGAGGUGGAAUUCCACAGCUUAACUGUGGAACUGCCUUGGAAACUAUAAGGCUUGAGUCAGGUAGAGGAGGGCGGAAUUCCCGGUGUAGCGGUGAAAUGCGUAGAUAUCGGGAGGAAGGCCGGUGGCGAAAGCGGCCCUCUGGGCCUGUACUGACGCUGAGGCGCGAAAGCGUGGGGAGCAAACGGGAUUAGAUACCCCUGUAGU
rnacentral:rRNA from 1 species